AGGCUGCAACUCGCCUACACGAAGUCGGAAUCGCUAGUAAUCNCGGAUCAGCAUGCCGCGGUGAAUACGUUCCCGGGCCUUGUACACACCGCCCGUCACACCAUGGGAGUUUGUAACGCCCAAAGUCGGUGGCCUAACCUUUAUGGAGGGAGCCGCCUAAGGCGGGACAGAUGACUGGGGUGAAGUCGUAACAAGGUAUC
rnacentral:rRNA from 1 species